UGGGCGGCCGGCCGGCAGGCGUGGAGUUUUUUUUAUUUUUUUUGAAAUUUUUUAGUCCCAAUACGUAACACCAACUGGGACUAAAGGGGACCUUUUAGUCCUGGAUGGAUGACCCGGGACUAAAGGACCCUCCUUUUAUCUCGAAUAUUUAAUCUUGGAUAGCUUUUCGGGAGAUUUGAUCCCUACCAACUGGGACUAAAGGUCCGUUAUCUACUAG
rnacentral:lncRNA from 1 species